CUCAAACAAUACAGUGAGCAUCUGCCAUAAUUUGAUCACCUCUGGGGAACUGAAGGAAUUAAAUAACGAUUUUCACAUGGGCGAGUUUCCCUAUCCCUAAAAGCUAAAUUUAAUUGCAAGGAGGGACCAACACAUAGGACAGGGCUGUGCAACCUUUAAUAUAUCUACAUAUUGGUCUUGCUAAAAUGCAGAUUCACAUCCAGGGGCAGGCCCCUGAAUUUCCAACAAGCUUGGAGGUGAUGUGAAUAAUUUUGAAUAAUAAAGGUCCUAGGGCGAUGGUUUGCAACUCGGGGUAUAUAUGAGAAUCACUCAGAAGGCUUUUAGAAAUCCCAAUGCCGAGAUCACGCUCCAGAAUAAACAAAUCAGAAUCUGAGGGUGGCAGAAGGUAGAAACCAAAUAUCAGCCUUUUUUUUUUUAAUUCCCAGGUGAUUUUGAUAUGCUGCUAAGGUUUGAUAAGAGAAAUGAGAUUCAGAGAACAGAUUAUAUUGUUGAAGAGCUUGACUGGAAAUGAUCCAAACGGAAACAUUGGCUCUUCCUGGGGUUCCAGCCUGCUGUCUUGACAGGAACUAUACCAUCAGCUCUCCUGGGUCUCUUACAUGCCAAGUCAUCCUGCAGAUCUGGGACUCACUCCGUAAUCAGCUUGAUUGCUGUAAGUUGAACACGUCAGUGGCAUGGGCACCAGCUGCACAACCCUAGGAGCCACCAAACACAGUAUAUUCUAUAUAAAUGUUGCUGCCAGGAGCCCCAGUUCAAACUACAAUAUGGAGUUUUGCUCUUUUUUGCCCAGGCUGGAGUGCGAUGGCACAAUCUUGGCUCACUGCAACCUCCACCUCUUGGGUUCAAGCAAUGCUUCUGCCUCAGCCUCCCAAGUAGCUGGGAUUACAGAGACAGGGUUUCACCAUGUUGGACAGGCCGGGCACCUGACCUCAAGUGAUCUGCCCGCCUCAGCCUGCCAAAAGUCUUGCUCUGUCACCCAGGCUGGAGUACAUUGGCGCAAUCUCAGCUCACUGCAACCUCUGCCUCCUGGGUUCAAGCGAUUCUCCUUCCCCAGGCUCCUGAGUGGCUGGGAUUACAGGCACCCACCACCAUGCCCAGCUAAUUUUUGUAUUUUUAGUAGAAACAGGUUUUUGCCAUACUGGCCACGCUGGUCUCAAACUCCUAACCUCAGGUGAUCCACCCACCUCGGCCUCCCAAAACGCUGGUGAGCUACCACACUCGGCCUUAUCCAGCAUUUUUAAGUGGCAGAAAAGCUUCUCCAGAUAUCUAGUGAGUCAUACAGCUGGAAACAGAAGUUGAAAAAAAAAGUUUUAUAAUAUUAAAAUGUUAAGGUUUUACUUCUUUCCCAAUUAACAUUAAUGAUUCUUGAAAUCGUUGGUCAGAUGACUGUAUGUCAAAAAGCAAUGGUUAAUAUGAAAUUAAUAUUUAAAAAAAGGAAUCUGUUAAUGUCAAAGAUGGACUUUACUAAGCUUUUCUUAAAUAUUCUAAAAAUUCAAUUUAUCUGGAGGGUGUUAACAUGAAUAAUUUAAAAUUCAUUUCCCAACUGCAAGGGAAAUCAAAUUGAUUCCAAUGGUUUUCCUGAAUCUGAAGGCUUGGUUAUUUUUAAUAAUUUUUUUUGGAUGAUAAAUGGGUGGCAAUAUGAUGAUAGAUGAGACAGAGAUUAUUGUUACAGCAUAUUAAGAAAACUUUAGACACUGAUGCUAUCAUAACCAAGGGUGAGCCUAGGUGUAGAAGUCACAAUGUUCCUGAAGCAGAAUGUUGGUCAACUGGAUGAGACCAGUCAACUAACAGAAAUCAGCUGUGAUGCCCACAGCAACCAUGCUUUCAAGAACUCAGUGGGCCGGAUGCUGGAGAGUAGGUGGUGCUGUUUUAAUGAUUUACAGUAAGAUGCCCCAUUAAAGGACUGAAUCAUUGCAGGAAUCCCCCCAUAUAUGGAAACCUAGGUACUCCCUGGGUUCCUUCUAGGUGGCAAUGUAAUCCAAGCGUAUAAACGUGAUACUGCUGACCCUACAUCUGAUUUGGCCCAUCUGGCUGACUAGGGGGCUGUCUCCACCAUUCCAUGAGUUUUUUCUCCUGUGUACCACCCACUGCACCCUGCAUUGUGCACUCUGUUGAGGAGGACAAUUACUUCAGAUACAGCUGGAUUGUUCUUUAAAGUCAAACAUAUGGGAAUUGGGGGCUUCCCUCCAAAUCAGUUCGUAAGUCCAUUUGUAAGAACUAUAUGUGACGGCAUGCUUGAAAGCUUCAGCUACAACAACUUCAUUUCUUAAAAAGUGAUGGAUUCAAUAAUGUUAGAUGGAUUUGAUAGGCAUGUAUUAUAUUAUGGAAAAAUGAAAAUGCAUUCUCUGGAGACACACUGGUAGAUUUCUAAAUUAUGUCAUAUGCUUGGAUUUAGCCUGCAACAACUGCUAUACUCUGAAUUGUUCAUCUCCGGACAAGUAUUUAGUUUGUGGAAUUUGAUUUAAUAGUGCCCCUUAAGGUAUUAGAGUUUGUCUUUCCGGUCCACGUUAAAAGUCUCUGACCUUAAACUCUGUACAAAGAAAGCCCUUCAAAGAAAGCUCGGGGCUGAAUUGAGGAGGAUUCUGGGUAGAAUCCUCUCCGUCUGGGAUCCCCACCCUAUUAGUUUACUUGAGGUGUGGCGCUCCUUCUAACAAGUUCAGCUUGAAGACUCUGAACUGGCUAAUGCCGUUGUUUAUUCCAUUACAUAUGUAUUAUGUUGGUUUGUAUCCCCACAGAAUCACCAAGCCCAGUUUACAGGUUGUUCUUCUUUAUAGACCUGUGAAAUCCCCUGGGUGUUCCAAAGAGCUUUGGGGUUUCUGGGAAUGUGGCAGAAAGAAUACAGUAGGACGCGUAUUAGGUGAUGUCUGCGCUGUUCCUUCAUGUGAAAGAGCAGUGCGUAUGUAAGCAAUGUUAGGGCUCUGCAGGCAAGAGUCAGAACUGGGGGGAAACCGGCAGUUCAUUAUGUCCAGCACCUUCCAUCUCAAUUGACACAUCUCAUAAAGUCGUUUUUUAAUAAAUCAGCUGAGUCAUAGAGAAGUGUAAGUGAUAUGGUUUGGCUGUGUCCCCACACUAAUCUCAUCUUGAAUUCCGACAUGUUGUGGGAGGGACCCCGUGGGAGGUAAUUGAAGCAUGGGGGCAGGUCUUUCCCAUGUUUUUCUUGUGAUAGUGAGUAAGUCUCACGAGAUCUGAUAGUUGCUAUAAGGGGAAGUUUUCCUGCACAAGCUCUCUCUUUACCUGCAGCCAUCCACAUAAGAUGUGACUUGCUCCUCCUCGCCUUCCGCCAUGAUUGUGAGGCCCCCCCACCAGCCAUAUGGAACUAUAAGUCCAAUUAAACCUCUUUCUUUUGUAAAUUGCCCAGUCGCGAGUACGUCUUUAUCAGCAGUGUGAAAACAGACUAAUACAGUAAGUCAUUUUUGCCUGAGAUUAGAUAUUACAGAAAGUCACACAGAAGUGUUCCAUGAAGUUUAGAAAUAAAAAUUCUAGAAGACAUACAUUUGUCAUGUAAUGGUUGAUUUUUCUUCAAAAUAUUCAGUGAAUGUACAAAACCCAUUUUAAACUAAGGACAUGUACAAAUUACUUAAAUUCGUCCCCAGAUGAACAAUUGGAGAAAAUAUGAAUAAUGGGGGAAAAUCUAACAUGUGCAGUAUUCAAAAUUAAUUAAAGAAAGGGCAAAUCUUUGGCAUCAAAUGGAACAAUGUUUUACUAGAGGUAUGCAUAAAAGGAACACUGACAUGAAGGAAAGCAUAUUAAAAUCUUGUGUUUGAAGAUUCACUGUUCCCUAGAGUUGCUCUAGUAAUUAAGAUUAGCAAGAAAUUUGUCAGAUAUUAAAACAAAAGAAGAGUUUCAUCAGUAUCACCAGCAAUCUAUUGUUAAACAUAAAGUAGCCAAGGAAGCACCUUAGGACCAUGUUUAAGAGCUCAGGGAAUCCCCCUCCACCCCAUAGGAUUCCUGUCAGUUUACCUCCAGAGAAUGGGCUUCUGCUAGAAGUCUGGGAGCACUGGAUUAGUCAAGAAGGCCAAAUACAAGGAUCAAAAGGACACCACAGCUGGGCAUGGUACUCACACCUGUAACUCCAGUGCUUUAGGAGGCAGAGGCAGGAGGAUCACUUGAGCCCAGGGGUUCAAGGCUGCAAUGAGCUAUGAUGGCGCCACUGCACCCCAGCCUGAGCAACAGAGCAGCAACCUGUAUAUACAUAUAUAUAUACACACACACACACACACACGUAUAUAUACUUAUAUAUAUGUGUGUAUAUAUAUAUAUACAUCUUAUCCCUGCCAGGUAGCCAUGGAAUAAGGAUGUGAAGGUCUAUAGGCACACCAGCUCUGACUGAGCAAACAGUGGUCAGAAGGGAGGAAGAAGCUUUUCUGGAUCAAAUGUGUCAAGCAGGCCCUGAGAAGAAAAGACAGAGCAGCACAUGAUGGCAGCCAUACAUAGGACAUGAAAAGGCAGAAGCCAAAGAAGAAUAGGUAGAAAAAGCCAAUGGUCCUGUUUUGGUCUUUUCAGUUACUCUUCAGUACACCGUCAGCUACUUAAUCUCCCUUUCCUCUUGUUUAAGUGAAAGAUAAUAUAACAAUAACAAAACAGUUGUAUUUAUUUUUAACAUAACAUUAUUGUAUAUAAACAUUUAUAUAAAAACAAAAUAGGACAAAUCACUAAUGGUAAGUUUUUAAAAAUAAUUAAAAUGGUGUGUUUAGAGGGGUAUGAAAAUGGAAUUGUUAAACUCUAAAAGAGCACACUGUACAUGAAUGCCUUAGAAGAAGCAACUCAAUAGGAUGAUAUAUUUUAAGGGAUUGAAUAAUAGAAUGUUCUUCCCAGAAUCUUCUACAAUGGUAAUAUCAGCAUAGUGCAUUUAUUCGUAGUACAACCAUGUAUUUUGAGUAACAUGCCUUUCAAAAACAGUACUGAAUAUACAAUGCAUAGACCACCUAGAAUAGGUAUGAAAGAAAGAAAACUGAAAUGAAUAAAAUGGGGAAAAUUCCAUGUUUUAUUCUAUGGGAGAUAAAUUUCUUAUAUAUCCAUUAGAAUUGCCUAUGAAAAUCAAACCACAAUUUGAGUCCAUUUUCCUCAUGAUAUUCUAAUAACCAGGACUUCCAUUUUCAUCAAAUAGAAUUUAUUAUACAUUUACUUUUGAAUCACAUUGGGCUGGGUAUUACUUAAAACAUGGCGAAUAGAAAUAGUUCAUACCUCUUAGAAGCUUAUAGAUUAAAUGGAUAGUGGUAAACACGCAUAUGUAAAAAUCAUGCACACAUAAUACAUACUUAGUAGUACAUGUCUAAACAACAUGAAUACAUGCUAAACUAAAUUACUUCUAGUGCUUUUAGCAUAAUAUAAUGGAAAAAUAGUUUUUAAGUGUGUUUAGCCAUCUGAUUAGCUGAGACACAAACUCUCCCUGGAAGCCUACAGCUGAGGUUUGAGGGGGAAGAGGGAAAGCUUUCAGCCUAUACAGGUUGGGGGAUUGGAACAGAGACCCUCACAUAACACUGGACCUCCAAAUUGCAAAGAGUUCUUACCUUUAGAGAUACACAGAUGAAACUAUAGGAUGUCUGGCAUUUUCUUCAAAAUAAUCCAGGGGUGGGAGGAAUGGGUAGAGAUUACAGAUGCAAAAAAGAUUGACUAUGAGUCCAUAAUUAUAGAAGCUGGGUAUGGCUACAUGGAGGCUUAUUAGAAUAUUCUAUUUUGUAUGCUUGAAAUUUUCUAAGAUAAAAAGUUUUAUUUAAGAACCAUUAAAAGAAAAACCAAAAAUUGUGUAAUGGAAUUGAAACAAAGCUGACACAAGAUGAGAAUCCAAAAUGUCUAAAGAACUUCUAGAAAUCAAUAAGAGAAAGACAAAGAAACCCAUUGAAAGAUGGUUUAAACAAACAAAUAAACCGACAUUUUAUGAAAUAAAAAAAUGCCCAGACCAAACGUCAGAAGAUGUGCAGUCUCAUUAGUAAGCAGGAAAAAGCAAAUUAAAACCACAAUGAGAUAUUCUGUAUGUUAUGAUAUGCUAGGUAAUAUUGUUGCCACCAACACCCAAGAAUCAUACCAACAAAAUUUUACUUCUCACUCACACAAAUGUCCAGUUUAGGUCAUCUGGGAACUGUGGUCAGUCAUCUGUUCAUUAUGAUCACUCAUGUUCCCAGGGUCACACAACAGUUACCUCCGAUGUUGUAGGCCUCCUUGUCAGAGGGAAGGAAAGCAUGGGGGUUUUUGCAUCAGUAAGUAAUUGCUCCAGCCAGGAGCUGGCAGACAUUCCUUCACAAUUCAUUACAAGUCAAACUCACUCAUAACAAGGAUUUAGGAAGUGCAAUUCCUUCUACUAUGUGCUUGGAAGCAGAGAAAACUGGAAAUGUUUAGGGAAAACAAAUGACUUUCACAGAUGCCAGUUUUUUUCUAUCAGAUUGGCAAAACUAUAUAGUCUGACAAAACCAAAUAUUGGUGAAGAUGUAGAGCAAUAAAAACACUUACACACUUUUGACUGAAGAGUAAAUUGGUACCACUACUUUAAAAAACAAUUUAGUGUUAUUUAGCAAAGUUGAAAAUUCAUAUAGUCUUCGACUCAGCAAUACCACUCUAAGAUACAUACUUUAGAAAUAGUUUUGCAUAUGUGCACCAAAGACAUAUUCAAAUAUGGUCAUAGAAGCACUGUUUGUACCAGCGAAUCAAACAAGCAAAAAGAAAAACUGGAAAUAGCUCUCAUGUCCGCAGAUAGUGGAUAAUUUUUUGAAUAUUCAUUUAAUGAAAUACCAUUUAGGAUAGAAUAUGAAUGAACAGAUACAUGUUCAUCUGGUUGAAUUUCAGAAACAUAUUGAAUGAAAAAAGUAAGCCUAGAAUUAUUGUAUUUGACAAAGGUCUAAAAAAGUUAAAAUUAAUAUAUUAUUUUAGGAUUACAUACUUAAGCAAAAAUAAAUAAUUAAAAGUUAGUUUAACACAAAAUUCAAGAUAUUGUACCUUUGAGUACACUUUGAGUGUAUCAAGGUAGGGAUGUUACCAGGGACAGAUUUAAGGUAUUGAUAAUAUUCUUUUCGUCAAGUUGUUUGGAGUUGUAAACAUUGUUCACUUUGUUAUUAUUCUUUAACUUGUACAUAUACAGUAUAUGUACUCUAUGCAUGCAAAAAAGCAUAGAAAUAUAUCUUAUAUUGUGGAGAAAAAUCAGUCAAUGGAAACAGAACAAAAAUGACACAGAUAGUAGAACUAGUAGUCAAGGACAUUAAAAGAACUAUUAUAAAUAUGUUUCAAAUGUUCAAGAAGGUACAGGAAAUAGAAAAACAAAAAAUAGAGAAUAUCAUUGGAAUAAAAAACUGGUUUUUUGAGAUCAGUGAGUGAUAAACCUUUAGCUGGAUUCAUCAAGAAAAAAAUAGAAAUGAUACAAAUUAUUAAUUAUAGAAAUGAGAGAGAGGAUACCAAUACAGUUGUAGAUACUAAAAGUAUAAGAAAAUAUUACAACCAUCUUUUUUGCCAUAAUAUUUGACAACUUAGAUAAAAUGGACAAAUUCUUUGAAAGAAACCACCUGCCAGAGAUCACUCAAGAAGACAUAGAUUACCUGGAUAGCUCAAUAGCUAUUAAAGUUAUUAAAGGCUUCUAACUAUAAAGCUAUUAUAGUUAGAAACCUCCCCAUAAAACAAACAAACGAACAAACAAACAAAAACCCAGAAAACACAUCAAGCCAAGAUGGCUUCUCUGGUUAAUUCUACCAGACACUUAAAUCAGAAAGAAUAUCAAUUCUACACAAAACUUCAAGAAAAUCAAAGAGGAUAAAACACUUUGCUAUCCAUGUUGGGCGCAGUGGCUCAUGCCUCUAAUCCCAGCAUUCUGAGAGGUUGAGAUGGGAGGAUUGAGGCCAGGAGUUUGAGACUAGCCUGGUCAACAUAGUGAGACCCCACCUCUACAAAAACAAAAACAAAAAAAAACUGGAUGUGGUGGCACACACCCGUGGUCCUAGCUACUUGGGAGGGUGAGGCAGGAGGGUCACUUGAGCCCAGGAAAUCAAGGCUACAGUGAGCUGAUAUUGCACCACUGCACUCCAGCCUAGGCAUAGAGUGAGACCCUGUCUAAAAACAAACAGACAAACAAAAACCCACUUUGCAACUCAAUCUAUGAAGCCAGCAUUACCUUGAUACCAAAACCAAAGAUAUUACAAGAAAAGAAAAUCUACAAAUCAUGUCCCCUGUGAACAUAGUGACAAACACUGUUUAUAAAUUUUACCAAAUAAAAGGUUUAUCUCAAGAAUGCAAGGUUGGUUUAACAUUUGAAAAUCAACCCAUGUAAUUCACCAUAUUAAUACACUUAAAAAGAAACACCAUAUGGUCACCUCAAUAUAUGCAGAAAAGCAUAUGACAAAAAUUCAACAUCUAUUCAUGAUGAAAAAAUUUAAAAAAGAAAAGAAGAAAAUUCAACCACAUAAAGGGCAGCUAUGAAAAGCCUACAGUUAACACCUCACCUAAUGGUGAAAGACUGAAUGCUUUUCAUUUAAGAACAGUGCAAGUAUAUCCAUUCUAUCACUUCUACUUGUCAUUGUAACAAAGAUUAUGGCAAAUGUAUUAAUGAAAGAAAAAGAAAUAACAAAGGCAUACAGGUUAAAAAGAAAGGCAUAAAGCAGUCUCUAUUAACAGACAACAUGACUGUGGAAAAUUCUUUGAACCAGUAUAGGUGAUUUAAAAAAAAUCUAAGAAACCUACACACACAAAAAUAUUGGAACUAUUCAGUGAGUUUAGCAAGGUUAAAGGAUAAAGAGUAAUAUAUAAAAAUCAAUUUUGUUUCUAUACAGUAGUAAAGAUCAAUCCAAAAUUGCAAUAAAAAUACCAUUUAAAAUAGCAGAAAAUAUGAACUUAAGUAUUGGUUUGAAGAAAACUUAUGCAAGACCUUUAUAUCAAAAACCAUAAAACAUUGUUGAGAUAAUUGAAAAGAUGAGAUAUACAUGCCCAUAAAUCAAAAACUAUAUUAUUUAGAUAUCUAUUCUCCCCACAUUGAUCUUUAGAUUAAAUGCAAUGCCAAUAAAAAAAUCAGCAGGCUUGUUUUUUAGAAAUUGACAAACUGAUUCUAAAAUUUAUAUGGAAGUUCAAAAGAUGUAGAAUAGUCAAAAACAUCUGAAAAAGAAUAAAGUUGUAGAACUCACACUAUACACUUGAGUUUAUAUUUAGGGUUUAUCAUGGAGCUAUGGUAAUCAAGACAGUGUGGUAUUAUCAUAAUGAUAGAUAUACAAAGAUCAAUGGAACACUCUAGAAAGUUUAGAAACAGACCCACACAUAUAUAUCAGUUGACCUCUUUCAAAGGGAAACUGGGUGAAGAAAUAAUAAUCUUUGUUUUUUUUUUUUUUUUUUUUUUGAGACAGGUCUUGCUCUGUCACCCAGGCUGGAGUGCAGUGGUGAGAUCUCGGCUCACUGCAACCUCCGCCUCCCAGGUUCAAGUGAUUCUCCUGCCUCAGCCACCAGGGAUGCUGGGAUUACAGGCAUAUGCCACCACGCGUGGCUAAUUUUUGUAUUUUUAGUAGAGAUGGGGUUUUGCCAUGUUGCUCAGGCUGGUCUCUUCUGAGUUCAAAUGAUCUGCCCGCCUCAGCCCCCCGAAGUGCUGGAAUUAUAGGUGUUAGCCACUGUGCCUGGCCAAAAUUGAACACUUUUGCUCUUCAAAAAAAUGAAAUGAAAUGAAAAAGAGGAAAUGAAAAGGCAAGCCAAAAUCUGGGCAAAAUUAUCUGCAAAAUAUAUAUUUUAUGAAGGGUUUGCAUUUUAUAUAAAAUAAACCCUUACAACUUAAUAAGAAGAGAAACAACCUAAUUAAAAUACUGUGCAAAAAUCAAAUAGACAUUUUACAAAAAAGAAACUGUACAAACAGGAAAUAAGCACAUAAAAAGAUGCUGGACAUCAUUAGUCAUUAGGAAAAUUCAAGUUUAAAUCACGGUGAGUUGACACCUAGCAUGAUGGCAAUAAUCAAAAAGACACAAUAAGUGUUGGGAAGGAUAUGGAGCAACUAAAACUCUCAUGCACUGCUGGUGGGAAUGGAAAAUGGCACAACACUUUUGAGAACAAUUUUAUAGCUUGAAAAGUUAAACAUUCUCUACUAUAUGUGUCAACCUAGGUAUUUACCCAAGAGAAACGAAAGCAUAUGUCCACAUAAGGACUUGUCCACGAAUGUUAACAGCAGCUUUAUUUGUAAUAGUCAAAAGCUGGGAACAACCCAGAUGUCCUUGAACAAGUAAAUGGACAAAUAUAUUUCAGUCCAAUUCAGCAAUGAAUUCAGCAAUGAAAAGGAGUGAACUAUUGAUAUGCAUAACAUAGAUGAAUCUUAAAGUAACUACACAAAGUGAAAGAUACCAAUUAAUAUAAUUGUAUUUAUUUAAAAAUUUUAAAAAUGCAAGCUAAUCUAUAGUAAUGGAAAGCUGAUCAGCAAUUGCCUGGUGACAGAGAUGGCAGGAGGGAGGAAACUUUUGGGGGCAAUGAGAAUGUUUGUUAUCUUGUGAUGAUGGGUUUCAUGGGUUCAUACAUAGCUGAAACUGAUCAAAUUGUAUACUUUAUAUUUAGCUUAUUGUAUGCCAGUUAUACCUUAAUAAGAUUGUAAAAAAAAAUGGAUAUUGUCUCUUAGGUAAUAAUUGCUCAUAUGCAUAUGCCCAUUAACAUAUGUGUCAAUUUUCAGGGUACCAUAUUCUUUGCUUAGAGCAGGAAAUA
rnacentral:lncRNA from 1 species